rnacentral:piRNA from 1 species
UGAAUAACUGUGUAUCCCUAUGGGCCA